UCGAGAAUCUUUCGCAAUGGGCGCAAGCCUGACGAAGCGACGCCGUGUGAGCGAAGAAGGCCUUCGGGUUGUAAAGCUCUUUCGCCAGGGAACAAGAGAGAGUGGUUAAUAACCGCUUGAUUUGAUGGUACUUGGUAAAGAAGCACCGGCUAACUCCGUGCCAGCAGCUGCGGUAAUACGGAGGGUGCAAGCAUUGAUCGGAAUUACUGGGCGUAAAGGGCGCGUAGGCGGCCAAAGAAGUCAGGUGUGAAAUUCCGGGGCUCAACCCCGGAGCUGCAUUUGAAACUCUAUGGCUUGAGGUUGGUAAGGGAAACGGAAUUCCACGUGUAGCGGUGAAAUGCGUAGAUAUGUGGAAGAACACCGGUGGUGAAGGCGGUUUUCUGUGCUAAACCAGACGCUGAGGCGCGAAAGCUAGGGGAGCAAACAGGAUUAGAUACCCCGGUAGUCCUAGCCGUAAACGAUGCAUACUAGAGGUAGGGAGGCUCAACCCUUUCUGUCUCGGAGCUAACG
rnacentral:rRNA from 1 species